UACGGGGGGGGCGAGCGUUAUUCGGAAUUAUUGGGCGUAAAGGGCGCGUAGGUGGCUUGGUAAGUCAAAGGUGAAAUCCCUCGGCUCAACUGAGGAAUUGCCUUUGAAACUGCCUGGCUUGAGGCCGGGAGGGGGUAGCGGAAUUCCCAGUGUAGCGGUGAAAUGCGUAGAUACUGGGAGGAACACCGGUGGCGAAGGCGGCUACCUGGACCGGUUCUGACACUGAGGCGCGAAAGCGUGGGGAACAAACAGG
rnacentral:rRNA from 1 species